rnacentral:ncRNA from 2 species
AUGACUGUAAUGGGAGAGACUACUACCGUGGCGCCGAAGGAGCAAACAAUCUUUGUGAAUCUCUCAGGCAAAAAGACCUUUACAGGACG